GACGAACGCUGGCGGCGUGCCUCAUACAUGCAAGUCGAGCGGACUGGUUUCGGCCAGUUAGCGGCGGACGGGUGAGUAACACGUGGGUAACCUGCCCUAAAGACUGGGAUAACAUCCUGAAAGGGAUGCUAAUACCGGGUAAGGUCUUUUCACCGCAUGGUGGGAAGAAGAUAGGAGCAAUCCGCUUUAGGAUGGACCCGCGGCCCAUUAGCUAGUUGGUAAGGUAAUGGCUUACCAAGGCGACGAUGGGUAGCCGACCUGAGAGGGUGACCGGCCACACUGGGACUGAGACACGGCCCAGACUCCUACGGGUGGCUG
rnacentral:rRNA from 1 species